UACGUAGGGGGCAAGCGUUGUCCGGAUUUAUUGGGCGUAAAGAGCGUGUAGGCGGCCUGGAAGGUCAGCUGUGAAAACUCGAGGCUCAACCUCGAGACGUCGGUUGAAACCACCUGGCUAGAGUCCGGAAGAGGAGAGUGGAAUUCCUGGUGUAGCGGUGAAAUGCGCAGAUAUCGGGAGGAACACCAAUGGCGAAGGCGGCUCUCUGGGACGGUACUGACGCUGAGACGCGAAAGCGUGGGGAGCGAACAGG
rnacentral:rRNA from 1 species